rnacentral:rRNA from 1 species
CACGUAGGCACCAAGCGUUGUCCGGAUUUAUUGGGCGUAAAGAGCUCGUAGGCGGUUCGGUAAGUCGGGUGUGAAAACUCUGGGCUCAACCCAGAGCCGCCACCCGAUACUGCUGUGACUUGAGUGCGGUAGGGGAGCGGGGAAUUCCUGGUGUAGCGGUGAAAUGCGUAGAUAUCUGGAGGAACACCGGUGGCGAAGGCGGCAUCCUGGACCGGUAUUGACGCUGAUGCGCGAAAGCCAGGGGAGCAAACGGG